GUAGGUGGCAAGCGUUGUCCGGAAUUAUUGGGCGUAAAGCGCGCGCAGGCGGUUCUUUAAGUCUGAUGUGAAAGCCCACGGCUCAACCGUGGAGGGUCAUUGGAAACUGGAGAACUUGAGUACAGAAGAGGAAAGCGGAAUUCCACGUGUAGCGGUGAAAUGCGUAGAGAUGUGGAGGAACACCAGUGGCGAAGGCGGCUUUCUGGUCUGUAACUGACGCUGAGGCGCGAAAGCGUGGGGAGCAAACAGGGAUUAGAUACCCUGGUAGUCCACGCCGUAAACGAUGAGUGCUAAGUGUUAGGGGGGUUUUCCGCCCCCCUUAGUGCUGCAGCUAACGCAUUAAGCACUCCGCCUGGGAGUACGGCCGCAAGGCUG
rnacentral:rRNA from 1 species